rnacentral:lncRNA from 1 species
CCCACUAAAACCAAACACCAGGAAUGGUAGACUGUUAUGGAUUACCCCCAAAAUAACCAGAAGCCAACAAGUAUUUCAAUUCCAAAGACAUCCAGCCUAGAAUCCUACUAGAGAUCAGAACAGGUACAUAAUGAGAGAUCUCCAUCAGUGAGCUUGGCACCAGCCACAGGUGGCCCACUGCCACCAGAGCUGGGCACAGGCCCACUUCCAGCUGCUACUCAUGAUGGAGCAAAAACCCUCACUUCUAGCCAUCACCCCUCCAGAUCUGGUACAGAGCCCGGAAAAGGUCAGGUGCAGUGGCCAACCAACAUCUGUAAUCCCAACACUUUUGGAGGCCAAGGUGAGAGGAUCACAUGAGGCCAGGAAGAGACCAGCCUAGGCAACCUAGAGAGACCCUAUCAUCAUGCCACUGCACUCCAGCCUGAGCGAAAGAGCAAGACCCUGUCUCAGAAAGAAAAAAAAAAAAGAAGAAAUUAAAAUAACUGCUGUGCCUGGUAUGGAGCUCCUGAGAUCUUCUAUGGAAAUGCACACUGAGUGUGUAAAAUGACAAAGUCUUUCACAAUCAGAUAAGAAAAGCCAAAUUGUUAUAUAUAUAUUCUUUAGACACAGUAUGUCACAAGUCUAAAAUAUAUUCACAGUAAGAAAUGGUAGGAUACUUUCACAAUAGCAAAGUGUUCAAAUGGAUCAGCUUAUAUUCACUCUUAAGAAAAAUGUGCUACUGAAGAAUAUGACCAAGCAAUUCAGGAGGAUUGCCAGUGAAACCUACUCAACCUCACUGAAAAUCAAAAUGAUGCAAUUACAAUGAUGACAUUUUGCAUUCAUCAAGUUUGUUUAUUUGUUUAUUUAUUUAUUUAGAGACGGAGUUUUGCU